rnacentral:rRNA from 1 species
AACGAACGCUGGCGGCAUGCUUAACACAUGCAAGUCGAACGUCUUAUAUUUAGCUUGCUAGAUAUAGGAAGUGGCGCACGGGUGAGUAACAUGUGGGAACCUACCUUUUAGUAUGGGAUAACAUUUGGAAACGAAUGCUAAUACCGUAUACGUCUUACCGAUUGGGUUUGGUAAGGGAAAGAUUUAUCGCUAAAAGAUGGGCCCGCACUAGAUUAGCUAGUUGGUAAGGUAAUGGCUUACCAAGGCUACGAUCUAUAGCUGGUCUGAGAGGAUGAUCAGCCACACUGGGACUGAGAACGGCCCAG